rnacentral:tRNA from 1 species
GCUCGGGUGGUGGAAUGGUAGACACGCCAGACUUAGGAUCUGGUGCCCCAAAGCAUGAGGGUUCGAGUCCCUCCUCGAGCACCA